rnacentral:lncRNA from 1 species
AUUUCACUCUUUUGUUAACUCAAACACGUCCAAUUCAAAAUUCGUAACCUUAAGACAACAGCAUUGUCUAGCGUCUCUUUUCAUAAAGGGUAAACACCCCAUUAUCAACAACAGCCAUCUCUCCUCCUCCCACCCUCCUCACCUUCUAGUUCUUUGACACGUCGGAGGGCCUCAGCCAGAUCCUCAGUCAGAUUCUUCACCUCCUCCUCUAGUCCCCUCUCUCUCCUCCUGUUCUGCUCCAGAGUAACAUUCAACCCCUCCCUCUCAAGCACUGUCUCCUAUCGGAGAGCAACACAUUCACAUGCAUACAGUCAAUAACUAUGUAAUAACUAUGCAAUAUCAACUAUAUAAACAACUUUAAAUAACCAACAUAUUCUUUCUGUAACAUAACCCAAUUCUAUAGCAAUAACAUAUUGACUUAAACAGAUAGUGCUAAAUGAUUCAGUUACUUCAUAACGCGGCCACUGCUUAGUUCAUGCAUAGUAGAUUGACAUGUCUAGACAAAGGACACAAGAGUCUGUUCAUAAUUUUAUGUGGGUAUACCGUUAGUUUGGUUUGUGUUUGGGCCUCUUUCUUCUGGCUCUCCUUCAGUUCCCCCUCAGUCCAUUUGACUUUCUCUUUCAGAAGGUCUACAUCCCUCUCCAACGCCUGCUUCUGAAGGGUCACCUGGGAGAGACAUGAGGGACAGGAAUAUUACUCCAUCAUGGAGGAAGGAAGUGCUAAGGAAAAGGUGGGGACUGGGGAGGGCUAUGAGAAGGUCACAUAUAAAAAGGUAGUAGAAAUAGGAACUCUUGAGGAAAGGGCAGGAGGCCAGCGGAGAGGAAACAAUGGGAGGAGCUGGGAAAAGAGAGGGUCGCGUGGUGUCCGCCUAAAGGACGGGUCGCGUGGUGUCCGCCUAAAGGACGGGUCGCGUGGUGUCCGCCUAAAGGACGGGUCGCGUGGUGUCCGCCUAAAGGACGGGUCGCGUGGUGUCCGCCUAAAGGACGGGCGCGUGGUGUCCGCCUAAAGGACGGGUCCGUGGUGGUCCGCCUAAAGGACGGGUCGCGUGGUGUCCGUCUAAAGGACGGGUCGCAUUGUAUCGGUCUAAAGGACAGCCGCACAAAGUGCAGUAAGCUACACACCAGGCAGAGAGAUGGAGAAACUAUCAAAUCCAUCAGAUACAUAGCAAACUACAUGUAAACAUGAUCACAUGUUUCUUGCUUACAUGAUGUAACACUCAAAACAUUGGAUACACUUCCAUGCCAUGGAUAAAAACAACUAAUGAAUACCUCUACAAAUUGAUCAACCAAUUUGAGGUUUAUCAAUUUGUGCAAUGUCAUUGUUGUGGAAUUCACUGGUCUGGAAUACACAUGCUUAUAUUCCCCAUGCUCAAACAAAGCCCUACAACCAUUGGGCUGUUUAACUCGCAUAAUCGCUUUAAAAGCAACACGUGAUCAGAUUAAAAAGCUUAUCAGUAAUUCAAUAUUAUGUCAAUCUGAUUUGAGGCAGCUAGCUAAACCAUAUGAACUGUAGCUCUAUUGUGUUCAGUGUGGAUUGGAGAGUGAGGAAGAGAAUGGUUGUGUCCCCAAAUGGCAGCCUAUUCCCCAUCUAUGUGCCCUGGUUAAAAGAAGUGCACUAUUAAGGGGAAUAGGGUGCCAUUUGGGAUGUAACCAAUGAAUGCCGUAUCAGAUUGAACUAGAUUAGAUAUACUACUGCGGUCAGGCCUGCCUUUACUAGACUGUGGUGACCUACAGAAGGAACUGAAAGUGAUUUAUUAUUCAUCAUUCAUGAACUAGAGCUUGAAAAGCUAAACAUGUGUAGAGGUGGGGAUGGGAAAUAUUAA